UAUUUAUUUAUAUAUAUAUUUUUUUUUCUGAAGGAAUGGUUUGUUGAUCGUAAAGCAUACAAAAUCGCAUUGAGGUGGUCAGGAACAGCGAUGCCGCUGGGUGAGUGAUUCGUCAAGUCUUUGCAAUAUGGCUCAAAAGUUUCUCUAACUUGCAUUACACUGGUAGCUACUGCUGCUUUUCCCAUUGGCAUAUGUAUCCCAAUUUGUCUUCAAGACAUCUUCAUCUCUUAAGGUGCAUGGUUUUAGAUAUUGAAAUUAAGCAAUCUCUAUUUGAUAUGUUAAGGCUCGUGAUAAGGAUGGAUUUUAGGCCAGCCUUUAUCAAUUCCAAUGGCAUGUCAUUGGUAGUUCGAUUUGUCGUUAUGUUAAAGAUGUUUGUUCAGGGGUUUGUUGGAAGGGGUUAAACGUAUUAUGAUUGUUUUUAUUCGAAAAAUGAUAAUCUUGAGAAGUUUUCGCAAUUUCG
rnacentral:misc_RNA from 1 species